CCUAUAUAAGUAGCAAAUUAAACGAAAGCGUAAAUUAACACACACCCCCCUCACCAUAAAAUAUGUCGCACACAAUGUGAAAACAAGGUAUAUUCAAAGCGUAUAGAAUUCCAUAUAAAAAAAAAUAAUAAAAAUAAAAAUUCCAAAAACAAAUCUAAAUAAAAUGGUAAAUAAAUUCAAGCGUAUGUAAAUGACUAAAUUCAAACCCAAUUUAUAAUAAACCCGUCGCCUAACUCUCUCCCUGAGAUUCAGACGGUAAACUAAAUUCAAAAUUCAGGUCCCAAACUAUUAACCUAAUCCUAGAAGUAAUUGCGCUAAAAUCGAACUCAAUCGUAUCGUAUAAAGCGUGAUAUAAAAACGUCCUUGAAAUGUGUAACUAUUUAGAGAUAGGGUUUUCAGGGGACGAUAAGAUGAAAAGUAGGGUAUAUAUUCCAAUAAAACUGACAAAUGCCAGCCUUACUAAAACUUUCUUGAUUCCUUACAGGUUUGUGGGUGCUUCGGAUGAAAUCUAAACUAAUGGAAAGGAAUAUCUCACGCAGACCAUGACCGAAGCGAUGACUGGUGGACACUAGCCGGAGUCUGGGACAGGUGACUAGGAUCACAAACAACCCCCUCGGUCGGACCUAGGCCUUUACCACGCCCGAAAGGACGGCCUCUUCUAGGUACUAAUUUGGAACAAGGAUUCCUAUGGAGACUUCCUACCUGCCUAGAAAGAGCUCUAUCUAUUGGGGAAGGGUAAAUACCAUGUAGUACGGUUGACGGUAUAAUCAAAGAUGAGUACCCUAGAAAAAAAAUGCCUGCCUUUUCAAAAAAAAACUAAUUUCCUUUUUUUUCUUUUAUUUUUAGGUAAUAUGUACGUCCGUCCGUCCGAAGGUUUAGUUUUAAGUAUUAUGUUAAGGGUCUUUGUAAGCCGUCACCUGGAGCACUGCGGUCUGCGAGUGCUUUUGAAGGAAGUCCCACGCUGGUGCAGAGAUGAGCCGUUGGUGAGCAGCGUUUUUUUUUGUUUUACUUUUAAUUAGUUUAAGCUUUAGCGUAAUGAUUAAGUUGUUUUCUUUUUGAUUAAGUUUAUAAUUAAGUUUCUUUUUUUUAGUUGGAAUUUAUUUUUCAAUAAGUGGUUUUAAUUCAGUUUCUUUUUUUUUUUCACUCUUUAGAGCUAGGUAUUAAGGUAGUUUCAAGGAUAGUUUUUAAGGUAAUUUUUAAGGUUGUUUGUUAAUUCAGUUUGUAAGAUGUUUCUUUUUUCCUGUUUAGCUAUCAGAAGCUUUUGUUUUUUUUUCUCUUUUCUUUUUUUUUUUGCAAUAAAGGAAUCGAAUGAUUUUGCUUUGGUC